GUAGGGAAUAUUGGGCAAUGGUCGGAAGACUGACCCAGCCAUGCCGCGUGCAGGAAGACGGCCCUCUGGGUUGUAAACUGCUUUUAUCUGGGAAGAAAAAGGCCAUGUGUGGCAAAUUGCCGGUACCAGAUGAAUAAGCACCGGCUAACUCCGUGCCAGCAGCCGCGGUAAUACGGAGGGUGCGAGCGUUGUCCGGAUUUAUUGGGUUUAAAGGGUGCGUAGGCGGCUGAUUAAGUCAGCGGUGAAAGACUUCGGCUUAACCGGAGCAGUGCCGUUGAUACUGGUUGGCUUGAGUGUCGGAGGGGUACAUGGAAUUGAUGGUGUAGCGGUGAAAUGCAUAGAUACCAUCAGGAACACCGAUAGCGAAGGCAUUGUACUGGCCGACAACUGACGCUGAUGCACGAAAGUGUGGGGAUCGAACAGGAUUAGAAACCCUUGUAGUCC
rnacentral:rRNA from 1 species